rnacentral:misc_RNA from 1 species
GGCGGCUUUAUUUUAUACACCGCAUCAAAUUCCUUCAGGACGCUGUCGUCGAGCAGGAGGUGAGCCGCAUUUACAUCGCACGUCACCUUCAUUCCUUUUGAUUUUGCCUCACGGAUCAGUGCCACACUUCCCUUGGAGGAGAUCGUCGAAAAAUGCAGCGGACGACCGGCAUACUCUGCAAUUGCAAGAUCACGAGUUAUCAUGACUUCUUCGGCAAUCGAUGGUAUUCCUUUUAAUCCAGUAAUCGUUCCGUUUAUCCCUUCAUGCACCUGGCCGUUAUGAGAAAUCAUUUUGUCAUCGGCAUAAGAAAAAAUUCUUCCAUCGAAAUUGCCGGAGUACUGCAACGCACGCAGCAAUAAGCCGGAGUCGGAAACGGGCCGCUUGUCGUCGGUAAAAACUU